AUCCAGUCGACGAGUCCCAAAUAGGAUGAAACCAGCGUCCUGGAU
rnacentral:hammerhead_ribozyme from 1 species